rnacentral:rRNA from 1 species
UACGAGGGGGCGAGCGUUGUUCGGAAUUACUGGGCGUAAAGGGCGCGUAGGCGGGUCUUUAAGUCAGGGGUGAAAUCCUGGAGCUCAACUCCAGAACUGCCUUUGAUACUGAAGAUCUUGAGUUCGGGAGAGGUGAGUGGAACUGCGAGUGUAGAGGUGAAAUUCGUAGAUAUUCGCAAGAACACCAGUGGCGAAGGCGGCUCACUGGCCCGAUACUGACGCUGAGGCACGAAAGCGUGGGGAGCAAACAGG